GUCCCUGUAGCGCAAUAGAUAGCGCGCAUUCGACUUCUAAUCGAAAGGUCGUGGGUUCAAAUUCCACCUGGGAUG